AAGUACUAGAAGUGGAAGAAGAAGAAAGAACUGUUAAAAGUCUGAGUCAUCCAAUUUCAGAAUAGCCUCUUCUCACAUUUCAUUGAAUUAAAAAUACAGCGACAGAAGGCUAACAGCAGUGCUUAGAAGAAAGCCUGAGAGGAACUUCAUCAUAUAGGAGCAUGUGGCUGCUUCUGAGAGCUGGGCAACCUAACGUUGACUAAAGAUGAACAAGGAGGCCUAAAAAGACCCAGCUCAGAGUCCAUUAAGCGAAAGACUGGAUGGCCCCUCACCGGCUCCUUGGAUCAGCUCUCCUCUGGGAAAGCCAAACACUGUGUCUAGGUCCCAAGCCCAGGGCUCGGGUUGUGGGCACAGCAGAUAUCAAAACCAGUUUGGAUAAGGAGUACUUAGAAAGGGGUCUGGUUUGCUUCUCCCUGUCAGUUUUGGUGCCAUGUUGCUCCUUUUGAAGGACAGGAAGCCAUUUAUGAAGCCAGAUGGCAUGUGGCAACGUUGGCAUGAAUUGGUUCACCCAGAAAAUACCAGGGGUUUUAAUAUCCUCCCUGUCACCACUAGUUAGAGAAGACCGCUAUGACCAGAAAUCCUAUGACUGAUGGAAAAGGAGAAGUGCUUCGAGGAGGUGAAACCACUGGAGGGAAGAACGGUGUGAAUGUUUCAUCCCUGGUCGCCAAGACACAGGACCUUCAGCCCAUCUCAGUUUCUUUACAGCCUCUGACUCCUUAUUUCUGGACCCAGCCCCUUACCUCAGCUGGAUGAUAAACCCAGGUGUGGCGUGAAUGGUCCAUUCACAGUGAGCAUUUAAGGGAUAGCUCUCCAACAGAAUCUGACCCUUUGAAGCUCGAAGAACCUGGCCACAGCCUGGAAAGAGAAGAAAAGUUCAAGACACAGACAAUGGGGUCGGCAGAAGAGACACAGAGAAAUUCUGACAGGGCCUUUGGGCUUUAGCCACACCCCCAAGACCAAAAUGAAAGCGGAAAAGGAAGAAUGAUUCAAGGGAAUUUUCGUAAUUUAAUUCUUUUAUUCCACCCAGUCACAUGGGACAGAGUGGUGCCGUCCCAGUUUUCCUGUCUUGUCUCUAAAAGGGUAAGGCUGACCGGUGCCUGACGUAAUGUCCAUGACACCCAUCAUCUGCCUCUCUAUGACUUCAUUUAUCCUCCUGCAGAAGGCUCAGACUCUCUGGCAUCGCUUCUCCCACCCGUUUAGACAGUGUAUGUGUUACUCUGUUCUGCGAUCAGUUGCGGGAUUUGCUCUGUUACAAACUAUGUAAUAAAUGCUUUCCUAAGGUACGAUACUAGAAAAGACAAAUGAUCUUCCAUGGGGUGAGCUGGAUUAAUGGUUUGUUCUUUUUGUCCUAUCCCCAAGCUCUCUUAUUCAAGUUCUCAUUAGGUCUGUCAACUAAAAAUGCAAAACAUGGGUAAAAGACAAGUUCCUGGCUGAAGCAGAAGCAAGAGCCGGAAGCAUUCCAAUCCCUAAUUCGCUGGUCUCAUAAACUGUCUCCAGUGAUAACCCCAAGACUUGGAAGUCUUUGAAUUGUAUAUUCACUCAUGGUAAUGUACACCCUAUUUUUGUAAAAAGGUUUGUGGUGAAACAUUUUCAGGUGAUUUUAUAGAAAGAAAUUCAUUUGAAUAAUGUAAAUAAAUGUUUUUCUUUACAUGA